AUGAACGCUGGCGGCGUGCCUAAUACAUGCAAGUCGAGCGAACGGACGAGAAGCUUGCUUCUCUGAUGUUAGCGGCGGACGGGUGAGUAACACGUGGAUAACCUACCUAUAAGACUGGGAUAACUUCGGGAAACCGGAGCUAAUACCGGAUAAUAUUUUGAACCGCAUGGUUCAAAAGUGAAAGACGGUCUUGCUGUCACUUAUAGAUGGAUCCGCGCUGCAUUAGCUAGUUGGUAAGGUAACGGCUUACCAAGGCAACGAUGCAUAGCCGACCUGAGAGGAUGAUCGGCCACACUGGAACUGAGACACGGUCCAGACUCCUACGGGAGGCAGCAGUAGGGAAUCUUCCGCAAUGGGCGAAAGCCUGACGGAGCAACGCCGCGUGAGUGAUGAAGGUCUUCGGAUCGUAAAACUCUGUUAUUAGGGAAGAACAUAUGUGUAAGUAACUGUGCACAUCUUGACGGUACCUAAUCAGAAAGCCACGGCUAACUACGUG
rnacentral:rRNA from 1 species